UACGUAGGGUGCAAGCGUUGUCCGGAUUUAUUGGGCGUAAAGAGCUCGUAGGCGGUCUGUCGCGUCGGAUGUGAAAACCCAGGGCUCAACCCUGGGCCUGCAUUCGAUACGGGCAGACUAGAGUACGGCAGGGGAGACUGGAAUUCCUGGUGUAGCGGUGAAAUGCGCAGAUAUCAGGAGGAACACCGGUGGCGAAGGCGGGUCUCUGGGCCGUAACUGACGCUGAGGCGCGAAAGCUCGGGGAGCGAACGGG
rnacentral:rRNA from 1 species